rnacentral:rRNA from 1 species
GACGAACGCUGGCGGCGUGCUUAACACAUGCAAGUCGAACGGAAAGGCCCUGCUUUUGUGGGGUGCUCGAGUGGCGAACGGGUGAGUAACACGUGAGUAACCUGCCCUUGACUUUGGGAUAACUUCAGGAAACUGGGGCUAAUACCGGAUAGGAGCUCCUGCUGCAUGGUGGGGGUUGGAAAGUUUCGGCGGUUGGGGAUGGACUCGCGGCUUAUCAGCUUGUUGGUGGGGUAGUGGCUUACCAAGGCUUUGACGGGUAGCCGGCCUGAGAGGGUGACCGGCCACAUUGGGACUGAGAUACGGCCCAGACUCCUACGGGAGGCAGCAGUGGGAAAUAUUGCACAAUGAGCGGAAGCCUGAUGCAGCAACGCCGCGUGCGGGAUGACGGCCUUCGGGUUGUAAACCGCUUUCGCCUGUGACGAAGCGUGAGUGACGGUAAUGGGUAAAGAAGCACCGGCUAACUACGUG